AUAUCACACGGCCCCACUGAUGUCACCACACCCCACCCUGAUGUUCCGACCAAGCAUUUCCUAUCUAUCCCACGACAUCCUAUGUGCCGCGAGAUCGCCAAUAUAAUUAAGAAAAAAUACGAAUAUCACGUAUCUGAAAGAAACGCGACUGUUUUCCAAAUGAUACGCAACGACAAAGAAGCUAGGCCUAAUGUCGAGAGGUGCGGGGUAUAUGAGAUACCGUUAGUCGCUCCCAUGACCAACGCGGUAACCUAUUUCAUCAGAAUAACCCAAUGGCGCCUGAAGGAUCAUAUACAACAACACAAGUACGACAUACAUAACAACAAAGAAAAUGCUGUUCUAGCAC
rnacentral:lncRNA from 1 species